UACGUAGGGUGCAAGCGUUGUCCGGAUUUACUGGGCGUAAAGAGCCCGUAGGCGGCUUAAAAAGUUGGACGUGAAAGCUCCCGGCUUAACUGGGAGAGGCCGUUCAAAACUUUUAAGCUAGAGUGAGGAAGGGGAGAGCGGAAUUCCCGGUGUAGUGGUGGAAUGCGUAGAUAUCGGGAGGAACACCAGUGGCGAAAGCGGCUCUCUGGUCCUAAACUGACGCUGAGGGGCGAAAGCGUGGGGAGCGAACGGG
rnacentral:rRNA from 1 species